AACUAGAUGGCGACCGGCGCACGGGUGAGUAACACGUAUCCAACCUGCCUCAUACUCGGGGAUAGCCUUUCGAAAGAAAGAUUAAUAUCCGAUAGCAUAUAUUUCCCGCAUGGGUUUUAUAUUAAAGAAAUUCGGUAUGAGAUGGGGAUGCGUUCCAUUAGUUUGUUGGGGGGGUAACGGCCCACCAAGACUACGAUGGAUAGGGGUUCUGAGAGGAAGGUCCCCCACAUUGGAACUGAGACACGGUCCAA
rnacentral:rRNA from 1 species